UAAUUUUCUCGCUCCUCAAACUCCAAAUCUAGCAAAUCGCACAGUCGCAUGCCCUCUGCAUCUUCUUCCUCCUCCUCCUGCAAUCGGAAUCGCAAUCGCAAUCGCAUCCUCCUCUUAAAACCCUAACAACAAAAGAAACAUCUUGUGGUUCACCAUCUCUAGUCGGUGGCGCCUCUGCCAACCACUUUCCUUCUCUGCUGCUUCUAUUCUCGGUCAUCUCUUCUUGGACCCAGAACGGGAGCCCCUCCUGCCCUGCCUCAGGUUUUUGGUCAUCUAAUACUAGAUGACUACCGAUGAACAAGAUCAAGAUCAAGAUGUCAUUCGGUGGGGUUUGGAUCUUCUUGAUUUUGGACCACUGUUCAAUAGUACUUAUGGGGGGGAUUAUAACACAGAAGAAGGGAGCAAUUAUCAUCAACAAUAUAUGAGAGAGUAUAGUUACGAUACAGUGUGUAAUUCUGACUGUAAUUAUGUAGAACAUGAUGCAAUACUUGCACAUUCUCUACAAGAAGAAUUUUCUAGAUUAGAAGUUGAUAAUGCGGCUCAAUCUUUACAUACAGAACCAGAGCUGUUUCAUUCAUCCAAUUUAUCAUCACACUGGCUUGUACCAUCUUCCGCCAAUUACUGUCCCGCUCAUGAGAACGCCCAGGAGGCAGAUGAUACGAGUUCAUGUUCUAGCCCAGGAGAAAGAUCCAAUGAUGGUGAAGAUUACUCGUAUUCUUUGGAAUUUGCGGAUGAGUCAGCACUUGAUGGAGAACUGGGGAAGAGGUUAAACCAGAUGAUCCCUGUGCCACAUGUCCCUCGAAUUAAUGGGGAAAUUCCUUCAAUGGAUGAAGCAACUUCAGAUCAUCAACGACUACUAGAUAGAUUGCAGUUAUAUGAUUUGGUUGAGCGCAAGGUUCAGGGGGAUGGCAAUUGCCAGUUUCGUGCUUUGUCAGAUCAAUUCUAUCGCACUCCAGAACACCAUAAGUUUGCGAGGCAACAGGUUGUGAGUCAGCUCAAAUCAGAACCAGAGUCUUACGAGGGAUAUGUUCCCAUGGAGUAUGGUGAAUACUUGAACAAGAUGUCCAAGAGUGGUGAAUGGGGAGAUCAUGUCACCUUGCAGGCAGCUGCUGACUCGUAUGGUGUUAAGAUAUUCCUCAUAACUUCUUUCAAGGACACCUGUUAUAUGGAGAUUAUUCCAAAGGUUCAAAAGUCAAAACGAGUCAUCUUUCUUAGCUUUUGGGCUGAAGUGCACUACAAUUCAAUCUAUCCACAAGGAGACAUGGAAGGGCAUUGAAUUGGAGUGUUUAUCCAACAUCUCUUGGUUGUUUAUGAGACCAAAGAUCAAGAGGUGCCGCCUCCGAUGGAGAUGAAAAAGAAGAAAAGAGGAUGGCUUUUCAGAAACCAUUGAAGAGAGACGUAUUUAUAUGGGAUGCUUUUCACACUUUUAAUUCAUCUUCUGUAAUCUGUAUAUAUGUGUCUAGGGCAGCCGUGCGAGCAUGGCAUUUUAUUUGCAAUAAUGUCUUAUUCUUUCUUUGUAUUUCUCUGUUGCGGCCUUCGAUAUAAUUGUGCAGGUAAUGAGAAUGAGCCUGAAACACAAACAUACAUAUAUAUAAUGUCCGGCAUGCAUUUUGAUUCGCAUGCCAUUUCCA